AGAUGAAUCAUCUGAGGAUCUUGUUAAAAUUCAGAUUCUGAUUCAGCUGGUCUUGGGGUGAGGCUCAAAAUUCUGCCUUUUUAACAAGCUCCCAGGUGAUGCCACU
rnacentral:pre_miRNA from 1 species